rnacentral:misc_RNA from 1 species
UAACUGCGAUAUCUAAUGUGAACUGCAGAUAUUUUGAACAUUGAGACUUCGAAUGCACAUUGCGCCAUUGGAGUCACAUCCUCUGGCACAUCUGGCUCAGGGUCGUCAACCCAAAACGAACGCUACUUCGUUUUCCCGAGCGCUGGCUCAUUCCGCAAAGGGAUGUCCCGGCGAAGUGUUGACUAGACUAGUGUGGGCUCUGCGACGGGAGAAGGUGGUCACCGCUUAUCGACCAACCGCCCGCCAAGCAGCAGUCCUUCCACUGUCAUCCUAGCGACCUGAGCUCAGGUGUGAGUACCUGCUAAACUUAA